rnacentral:rRNA from 1 species
AAUGAACGUUGGCGACGUGCUUAACACAUGCAAGUCGAGCGAGAAAGCUUCUUCGGAAGUGAGUAGAGCGGCGGACGGGUGAGUAACGCGUGAGAAUCUGCCCUUUAGUGAAGAAUACCUUCGGGAAACUGAAGUUAAUACUGCAUACGUCCCUUCGGGGAGAAAGGUGGCUUUAUGCUGCCGCUAGAGGAGGAGCUCGCGUCUUAUUAGUUUGUUGGUGGGGUAAUGGCCUACCAAGACGAUGAUGAGUAGCCGGCCUGAGAGGGUGAACGGCCACACUGGAACUUAGACACGGUCCAG